rnacentral:misc_RNA from 1 species
GUGAAUCAUCGAAUCUUUGAACGCAUCUUGCACUCUCUGGUAUUCCGGGGAGUAUGCCUAUUUGAGGGUCAUUUGAAAUACUAUCAAUUCCAAGAUUUCUCGGAAUUUAAGAUGGGUUGUCCAUUUUUUUUGGUUGCCUAAAAUCCAAGAAAAGCUCAUUUUCUGGGGUUGCGUGAUACUUUCAGUUACCUCGUGACUUAACCAGAAAUCAUCGUGCGAGUUAUGAAUUUUGCAAG